AGAUUGAACGCUGGCGGCAUGCUUUACACAUGCAAGUCGAACGGCAGCACGGGGGCAACCCUGGCGGCGAGCGGCGGACGGGUGAGUAAGGCAUCGGAAUCUGCCCUGAUGUGGGGGAUAACGUAGGGAAACUUACGCUAAUACCGCAUACGACCGAGAGGUGAAAGCGGGGGACCGAAAGGCCUCGCGCAGCAGGAUGAGCCGAUGUCCGAUUAGCUGGUUGGUGGGGUUAACGGCCCACCCAAGGCGACGACCGGUAGCUGGUCUGAGAGGGAUGGAUCAGCCACACUGGGACUGAGACACGGCCCAGACUCCUACGGGCGGCAGC
rnacentral:rRNA from 1 species